rfam:Loxodonta africana unplaced genomic scaffold scaffold_2, whole genome shotgun sequence.
UGGCAGUUAAAGAACAGAAACAGAGCAAUAAGACUGCAUGGCUACAUUUUCGCAGUGCCACCAACUGGGAGUUAAGCUGACUAACAUUUUAAAAGCCCAGCCCAUUUCAUUCACAGCAGGCAUGACAGG